rnacentral:lncRNA from 1 species
CUCAGCGCCGCUGCAGGAGAUGGCUCCGUCCAGAGAGAGCUGGACUCUGAGCCUCAAGCAGGGCCGAGCAUUCCUGGGGUCACACCCUGAGAGGUUGUGGCUCUGCUGCUCCCCACCGUGGGGUCUCUGAUGGCACUGGCUUGUCUGGGUAGCAAUGCACCGACCCCUCAGAACUUCUGUGAGAAAUGAAAGAGACGCUGCGUGUUUGGGUCUGACAUGCACGAGUGACAGACAGAAAGCAUGAAACCAUCACACACAGAAGGGGCCACAGAGCGACGGGUCGGGUGCCCCUCAGCCGGGAGCUUCUGUUCUGCUGUGGGAGGAGCCUGAGCUCCCGAGCGAUGGCCAAGCCCCAGCUCCGUCCGUCUGAAUCCCAGCUUGUCCCUCGGAGUCGGACCUGGAUGGAAGGGUCAGAAUGCACGGCCUGCGGGGGCCACGGGCAGGCAGCCGUGAGUCCACCCCACCCCCUGUUUCUUUCUGUCUUCUGUACCCCUGAGAACUUUCCGUUCAGUUCGCACGGUGUCUCCAGAUCCCUGGGGUUUCUGAGUGAGCUGAGCAUGGCCAGGCGCUGGGUCAGCCCCGGGGCUCUGCUGCCCCAGAUGCCAAGUCAUCGCUGCUCAGUCCCGCCCUUGACGUCCCUUCUUGUGGCUUCUCACUCUCAUCCCCCUCUGCCCCUGCAGAUGGAAGUCCAGCCACAGACCUGCCCCAGCAGGAGCCGGGGUUGGGGCGUCUGGGGCAGAGGCCUGAAGGGCAGAAGCUCGCCAGGGUGGGAGGGUUGGUCGUCCACCAGCAAUGGUGGGCUGCCCCUGCCCGAGGGGGGCGUGUCUGUCUGUGUCUGUGGGUGUCUCUGUAUCUCUCUGUCUGUCUUGUCUCUGUGCAUGUCUGUGUGCCUCCGUGUCCGUGUGUCUGUCUCUUUGUGUCUACCAGCUCACAGGACGGUCAGAAGCCACAGCCCACGCCCUUCUCCAUCUGGCCUUCUGUCGGGGCCACGGGGAGGUCAGUGUCCUGGAAAACGAGCCCCAUGGAAGCCCUGACUCACAGCCACUUCCUCCUGCCCCCCGCCCGCCCCCACGGCUGGGCACACGGGCGCCCACAGCCCAGGCCCACAGCCCUGACUCACCACCACGCGGCUCUAACUGGACGGCUUCCUGGGAAGGGCAGCUGAGGACACGGAGGCACCGCGAGGAGGCGGCCCCUCUGGCCCCGCGUGCAGCUGUGGGGCCGGCGGCUCUUGCUCUCCGGGCCAGCGCUGGCCGGACCCCGGGAAGCCCGUCCUGCCCGACGCCCAGACGGGGCGCGUGAGGCUGGGGGGUGGGUCUCGCGCGUCCCUGACAGACCGUGUUUCUCUGCUGAGACGUGCCCUUCAUGCCUCCCGCCAGCUUCCUCUUGGUGUCUUUUUCCCGUUCUGAUUCGUAGAGACUUUCACACACCCCCAACGCUGACCCUCUGGCAGUUACGUCCCUAGUGAGCAGCUUCUCAUUUUACUUCUCUCUCACUUUCUUUAAGGUGAUUGUGACUAACAGAUUUUUAAAGUACUCAGACUCAUCAGGCUCUCGUUUUGUAGCGUUUUAAAGAGAUCCCCACCCCAAGGUCACAAACACCCACCGACACUUCCCAGGCAGUGUCUGUGAGAACAGCUGUGCGUUCAAGCCCGGGGUCCAGCUGCAGCUGACGCGCCUGCUGGGAGCCAGGAUCCAAUUUCCUUCCCACGAGGAAACCGUCUCCACACCUGGCGGCUGCUCUGCUCUUGCAGAAGGAAAACCCCACAGGAGGACAUGCCGUCGGAUCCCACCACGUCCUGGAGAAGGAUGGAUGGCUCCCAGCCAGUUGUCCUCCUGGGCGGGGCCGCUUGUGGGACGUGUGCCGUCAUCCAGAGUGGACUCAGCACAGUGCUGACUGCAGCCACUGAGCUGAAGGACAGACACGAGGGCCCGGCCCCCGGCCCUGAGUGGGCUGUUUCCACCACAGCUAAACGCCACGGACCCCGCUCAGGGGUUUCCUGUUGCCUUUCACUGAGAAGGUCAGGGUGGGAGGCUGUGGGCCCCAAGCUGAAGAGAGACGCAUGUAUCUGUGUUUGUGCACGUGUGUGCAUGCGUGUGUGUCUGCAUGUAUGUGCGGGUCUAUGUGUGUCUGCACAUGUGUGUAUCUGCAGGUCGAUGUGUGUCUGCACGUAUGUGCGGGUCUGUGUGCAUGUGCACGCAUGUGCGUCUGAAGGUGUGUUGAGUGUCUGUGCAUAUGUGUCUCUGUCUGUGUCUGUGCAAGGGCCUGAGUCGGGGCUCUCGGGGGGAUGCUCUGCUCCAGGCCCGGUUAGGCUCCUCCCCUGAGUGUGGAGAGACCAGCCCAGCUUCUGGGCCCCGAGGGGAGUGGGUGCAGCUGGGAGUCAGAGUGCAGACCCGGGACGUGGGAUGUCUGCCCCCAGAGCUGUGACCCAAAUGGGUGCGAAAUGCAAGGCGCUAAAAUGAGCAUCUUUAGCUCCGGUCUUUCACGAAUGUAGACAGAAAGUGCUGGGCUAACGGGAUCAGUUUGUACCAAAGGGGAGUUAACUUUAUUCAUUCUUCUCACUGGCAGAGCCCAGGCGGGUCUCCGGCCACCGCACAGGACCUUCCAACCGUCAAAGCUGGUGUGACGAGGCCGGAGAGGAGGACACUGGUGGACGCCCCUAAUCAGCUCAGCAAGGAAACAGCCCGGAUCUUUGGGAUCUGAAAGCACCGAGGGCUCGCCUCGGCUGAGUGUGGGCCCCUGAAGACCUGGCACAAGUGUGACGUGAUCUGCUGACAGCCCAGGAAACCAGAAAGCAAACGGGGCUGCAGCUUUGUGCUUCUUUGGACUCAGCUGUCUGGACAGGCUGUACCCUCGCGGCCGAGAGAAGAUGUCUUCACGACGGGUUGGACGCGAGCUCAGCACCCGGGUCUGGGAAUCUCAUCUCCGGAGGAGCGGACUCUCUGGAACGAACUUCGUGCGGCUGCCUCUCCCUCUGCUGUUUCACGAACGCGUCCUCAGUUCCUCGUUACUCUCUGGAGUCCCCGGUCUACUCGUAGCAUCUGCCUCUCCUGGAACUCUGCUUUCUCUGACGCCCUGAGCCUGUUUCUUCAUGUCCACUGACUGCCGCAUUUCAGUCAACCGAGGAGAUGCUGGAAAGGAACACGCCCACACCGUCCGCCGUCUUGAACUGCAGACUUGACGCUCAACCAGCCGCCACUGAUCACAUUUGCAUCACAACCCAAUGAUCCCAACCACCGGCCUGGACCCGUUUCCUUAGAGCCAGAAAGACAGAUGCCAACACCGUGCCAGCCACCUCGGGCCAGGGCCCUCUGGGUGAUUUAAUACUGAUGUUCACGACUUGUGUUCUGGGGUCUCUGCACUGAGCACAGACUGUGUUUGAAGUUGAAAGGAAGGCAGGCAAAUAAGAAAAGAAAGAAAGAGAGAAAGAGAGAGGGAGGUGGUGGGGGAGGAAUUGAGGCCUCCUCACCUCACACCCGCGAGCGUGGCCACAAUGAGAAACACUCACAGAAAACACGCGUCAGUGAGGACGCAGAGAAGCUGGGACUUGUGCACUGCUGCUGGGAUGCUAACGAUGCAGCCGCCGUGGAGCACACUCUGGCACGUCCUCAAGGCUUAUCGACAGGCUGUCAUGUGAUGCGGCCGCCCCACUGUGCACUGAAGGAACCGAGGCCGGGUCUUGCAGAGGUGUCUGCACACCCGUGUUCACAGCAGCGUGAUUCACAAGAGCCCCAGGGUCCAUCAGCGAAUGAAGGGAUAAGUGGAACGCGGCCCAUCCACAGGGGAGCAUCAUUCAGCCCCAGAAAGGAAGGACGCCUGUUACAACACGGACAGAGCUUGCGGGCAUCGUGCUGAGGGAAAUCAGCCACAAAAGGGCAGGCACUGUGUGAUCCCACUCACGUGAGGCCCCUGGAGUUGACAGAUUCAUAGAGACAGAAAGUAGACGGUGGGGCCAGGGGCUGUGGGGGGGGAGUCAGUGUUUAAUGGGGACCGAGUCUCAGUUUGGGAAGAUGAGAAAGUCCUGGAGACAGAUGGUGUGACGGCUGCACAACAUUGUGAAUGUGCUCAAUGCCCCUAAACAGUGCACUAAAAAAUGGCUAACUAAUAAAUUUUAUGUUGUGUUUUUUACCACAGUUUUAAAAAUAAAAACUGUGGUAAGUUAAAAAAAAAAAAAAAGCUGCUACAAAAUGAUACAUAAAGCUUGAAAACCAAUCUUUAUAUUACGCAUGUACCUUAAUGGUGUCAAACGUGCCUCCUCUGUAAAGACACCACAUUUGGGACGUGGGCAAAGGGAGGUCAGUGAAGAAGGCUCCAGGGACGAGGGUGUCAGCUGUGCCCACAGUGCCCAGUGCCCCGUGCUGUGUCCUCUCCACCCACCCGUCCUGGGCCAUCAGCUCAGAAGCAGCCCUCACCCCACGCUGGGGCCCAGGGGGAGCAGGAAGGAGGGCACAGGGCCCGGGCUCAGCUGAGGGCGUCACUCGACCGUGUCUGUGCCAGCUUGAGGCAGAGGCCCCGUCAAGGUGUGGGCAGAGAUGCCUGUCUCCCAAACGGCGCCCCCAACUCCUUCCAGAGCUCGGAGCUCAGACGAACCUGGAGGGUGUGGGCAACGCACUUAUGCGGGGGGAGGCUCGGACGCGUUCUGGGGUGAAACCCAGCGAAAAUGCUCCCCUUGUUCUCCACGCCGUCCCGGCCUGACAGACGGGCUCGCUGUCACGGCCUCCUGGUUCCAGGAACUCGGGCAAAUUCUCCCUCUGGUUCCCCAUUCGUGAGGCGGGAGGACCCCGGGGGGUCCCACUGCCUCCUGUAGUAGAAAGAUGAACACAGGCACUGGACUCGCGCCAUCAACGAGACCUGCAGCGUUGACACGGUCAGACUCCAGUUGGCUCUGUCUUCAGUUCCGCCAGCCCGCGAGGUUGGAACAAUGAAUCCGAGAGGCCGCGAGUGGAGCCGAAAGGACGGGGGCCCACCAUAAUGGGCACAGACAUCUUUCCGGAUUCUUCACAAGAGGGAAUGGCAGGGCCUGAGCCCCCCACUGCUGGGAGAGGCUGACAGGCCAUACACCCCUGAGAUGACGGCUCCCGCCAGGCAUUGAGGACCGAGGCUCCAGCAGGGCUCCUGGCUGUGCAUCACAGGUGAGCAGCGAGUGUGCUGGGAACCUUCCAGCGGGAGACGGCCCUUCACGGCUCAGCACCCCUCAGCCCUGUGCAGAAAGUACCCGAACACGUGGGCAUCAGGCAUCUGCGGUUCUCACUGCCCCUCCUGCCUCAGGGGCAGCAGAAGGAGAGACUCACACGCGUGGGGCAGCCCCAAGCCUGGCAGCCGUCCCGCAGUCUGCGCCAAACAGGCGGGGCCUUUUCCAAGACGGGAUGAAGAGCUGGGAGCUGCCCCUCGCGGGCCCGUCCCUCAUCUGCUCAGUGGAAUUCUGCCCCCUGCUCUCCAGGUCAACUUGCCCGGUGCUCUCUCCCCACGUCCAGGUCGGCUGGCUGACCAGCCUUCACCCCCUGCCCUGAGGGGCCUGGGGGCUGGUGGCUGCCCAGCUUUGGUUCACCGCCUGCUGUCUCUGUGCUCAUUCAUCUUCCAGGCCCUGCACCAUGGGUGGAACUACGAGGCCGUCUGGCCCUGGAGCUCUCACAGGGUGGCUAGGGAUGUGGACCAGGAGCAGCCCAAGGCAGCCCAGAUGGGUGCCAGGCUCUGGUACUGGGAGGAGAGACUCCAAUACUGGAGGCAUCGGGAGGACUUCCUGGAGGAGGCGGCUUGCGAAGGCCGAGUUAGGGUGAGGAGGAAGACGAGCCUGCUCCCGGACACACACGACGAAGAGCCAUGACCAUGACCAGGCUUGUGUAGCAGACAACCGGGCGAGAGAGCUGGCCUGCCCUCUAGGGACCAUCCUGGGCCUCUCCAAGCCUCGGCCAUCUCGUCUGUGAGGUGGGGACACCCGUACACCUCAUGGCAAUGCUGGGGGCAAAGCCCACAAGAGCCCCAGGGCCCUGCGGUCCCUGAGGACUCGCGCCACAACGGUCGCCCGUAAAUGGCAGAUGGUGGCUCUGGGCCGGCUCCAGGGAUGGCCUGUGCUUGCAGUGAGAGUGGACAUUGCAAUGGGCUCCUCUGCUCAUCAGAAUCCCAAAGUCCUCAGUGGUAGCUGACCCCACACCAUCCCACGCGCCCCAAUAAUAAGCUCUCCCUAAACUUCAGCGGGAGCCAUCUCUGUGCCGCAGCUUCUCCAAGACACCACGGACCGGGCAGCUCACACACGGACACUCGCUUCUCUCCAUCCUGAGGCUGGACGUCCAGGAUCACGGUGCCAGCAGGCCCCGUUCUGGUGAGGCCUGCGUCCUGGGCAGCUUAGCAGGGCCGCGGUCCAGAAGGGGCGCUGGUGAGCUGAGCAGAGGUGCAGCCGACAGUAGCUGGCUCUGGGCUGUGCGCAGCCCUGACACCUGGGGAGGUGGCAGAAGCCAG